UUGUAAUCUGCUGCCUUCUAGCUCCUAUAAUCUGCUGCCCCGUGGGCACACAGAAGACUGGGCGACCUGGAAGGCACUGAUCAGGUUGCGUUCUGGCGCCAUGAGAUGCAGAGCCAAUCUUAAGUAAUGGGGCCGCAAGUGGAGUCCACAACAAAGCCCACGCCAGUUCAUAGAAGGAGAUGUGAUCUCAAAGAUAAAUUGGACCCGAAGCAUCAAAACUCAUGGGAAGAAGAAGACAUGGAGAAGCAUCUCUCUAAGUAUUAGCUGACAUAACAGAGGGGUCAGGAUAGGCAGACAUAGAUGGAGGAUGCUUCAAGUCAUUCAAAUUACCGCAUUACUGCUGCUUACUGCUUCACUUUUUAAAGCUAAACAUUACUGCAUUUCCAACAUCAUCACCACUUUGACCCUUCUUUAUCUGGCUUCUUCUUUUCUAAAUAUUUGUGUUUGUGAGGCACUUGUUUCUAGCAUCUGCUCUCUCCAUUGUAUUCAGCCUUGCAAGUAAAAAUAGCAUUUCCAGGAACAUGCUCAUUUACUACUCAGUUGUGUUCUACUUCCCCAGCUCCCUUCAAACCUUUGUGGAUGGCAGAUACCAUUUGGAUGGGUGGAGUCAGAGGAAAGAGACAGCAGAGUCCCAGAUGAGACCCGGAAAGCCAACCGCUUGGGAGACUUCACAGCUGCGCAGAAGUAUUCCAGUCUGGCACGCAACUUGGCCCACACAGCCCUUGGAGUGGGGCUCUUUUUCAUUGCUUUGAGUAUUAUCAUAGUGAUGUCAGUUUUACACUUUGCUUUUGGUGUCUCAGCAGCUGAGCCCUGAGAUUCAUCGCCUGAAGAGACCUCCUAACUAAUCCACAAAAUAAAGAAGUAAUGUACUAA